rnacentral:lncRNA from 1 species
CCACAAAUAUCACUCUGCUUGUUCAGACUCUAUGAUAAGUGCUUCAUAAUGUAAACUGUAUAGAAGAUGCUGGAGGAGGCCGGGCACAGUGGCUCACACCUGUAAUCCCAGCACUGGGAGGCCGAGACGGGCGGAUCAUGAGGUCAGGAGUUCGAGACCAGCCUGGCCAACAUGGAGAAACCCCAUCUCUACUAAAAAUACAAAAAAUUAGCCGGGCGUGGUGGCACGCGCCUGUAGUCCCAGCUACUCGGGAGGCUGAGGCAGAAGAAUCGCUUGACCCAGGAGGCAGAGAUUGCAGUGAGCCAAGAUGGCACGACUGCACUCCAGCCUGGGCAACAGAGCAAGAUUCCGUCUCAAAAAAAAAAAAAAAAAAAAAGGAAGCUUUGCACUCAAAGAAGGAAAUUUUCAUCUUUGACCAGAUCCCAAAGGCCCAUUUCCACCCCAAAGUAUCAAAACGCAUAUAUCCUACUAAUAUUAAUAGUUUAUUGAGCAAUUAAGUUCCAGGCACCCAGUUAAGCCUCUCACGUGGACUGCACGAUGAAAUUCAUACCCUCAUUGAUCCUCACUACAACUCAGAGGUAACAUGGAAUUUUACUGAGGCAAAUGGUGGGACCUGGAUUCCAGAAGCAAUACUAUUUGUGUGAAAUGUCAUGUCACUGUAAAAGUCUGUUAGGGAUUACCCAAAAAAA